GACGAACUAUCGCUGACGCACCGCGCGCGCGACCAGCGAGACGGCGCGAUAAGCGAUAACGCGAAAAUACGAGCGAGGUCGAGCGCGGAUGAUGCUCUCGGAAGCUGAUAAGAACGAUACGAUGACGAUAGAAAUUCGAGGGGAAUUAAAUGUCGCAAUGCGUUCGCGGCGAAACGCAGCAACGUCUCACGAGUCGUCUCCGAAUUUUGUAAUUUCGAUUCCAAGAUCAGAGCGAGCUUCUUUCUGCCUACUUCGUGACGAAAUUGUCUUUUGUUGGAAUUCGAGAAAAUGGCGCGGCAGCUCGCGUUCAUCCGCGACCGCCCGACCUGUUAAAUCACGAUUACGAUUGCCGAGUUUCUUCACUCGUGUGACACGUCACGUAACGUGUAUUAAAAAUUUGCAGUAGAAACUGACGAAAUGGCAGAUAAGAAGCUGCUUAUCGAUCCCGAGUACGAGUGGAUUUUCCGAACCUGCGCGAACGCUUUCAACGUUUAUAUAACGAUGAUGCAUUUUACGUUUUACGACAACACGCUGACUUUGCGGCCAGAAAAUUCCGAAAUCUCGCUUCUGUCGUACACGUUAUUCAUGACGGCGUUGGAUCUCCUCGCGUACUGCAUCUACCAAUAACUUCAGCCGCUGCGAGGAAGAUGAUGAAAGACGAGAACCGUGAUAGGCGAGAGAAGUGAUGAAGCGACUGACGACGCGUUCGCUGUCACGGUGGCUCGCGUAGAAAAGGGAGAGAGAUCGUAUAACAUAUGUAAAAAAUAUUCAAAACUUAUAUUUUACGUCGUCUUAGUGAAAAUUCUCAAUGCGGAAUUGUACAAGACGUUUUUAACCGUACUCUAAGUAUCAUAAAGGGUAAAAUGGGAGGGGGUGGGUAAGGGUAUACAGUAUAUAUAAUACAGUACUAAUCGUCAUCUUUAUGUGUUCCAAAAAUAUCCUAGCUAUCUCUCGCUCUCUCUCUCAAGCAUUUCUCGCGCAUUCUCUCCCUUUCUCUCCCUCUCUCUCUCUCUCUCACUCGCAUUCUCUCCGUUUUCCAUACUAUUCAUUAUACCUAUUAGUCAGUCAAGCCGCAUACAACAAAGCCACACAAAAUUUGUAAAUCGAUAAAGCAACGGAUACUCGCACGUACUUCUCCUCGAGCUAAUCUAAUGAUAAUCGCACUCCCUCCUCCGGCACUGAAAGUGCCGAAGAUACAUGUAUAUCUUAUUGUGAUGUUACAAAACAAGAAAUCCCAGCGUAGAGAGAUAAUGUACAAUGGAAGUAGUUUAUCUAUCGUGAGUGCGCGUUUUGUCCCACCAGUGACAAAUACCACGGUCCUCAUUCCGAUUCGCCCUACACAUACGAUCUCGCCGAUCCGUUUUUUUUUUACUCAUCAUUAAUUCAUAAGAAAUCACUUGGAAGGCAAUAAUAAUAUAAAAUCUGUCAAACUAUCGUCAAAAAAUAUUAGAACACACGAAACCGAUUUUCUCUCUUCAUUAAUCACAUAGACUGCAUAAUUGCAUUGACGACGAUACCGGAAACACAGAAAAGGAACGAUAUACAAGACACCCCUUCGCGCCGUGACACAGGACUGGUCAAGAAUGUAAGAUAAAAAGUAUGCAUUACUGAAUAAAUACCCAUGGUGCCCCCC